GACACGGUAAGGAUUGACGGACUGAAGGCUCUUUCUCGAUUCCGUGGAAAGUGGUGCAUGGCCGUUUUUGGUUGGUGGAUCGAUCCGUCUGGUUAAUUCCGUUAACGAACGAGACCUCGGCACUCCGAAUAGCGCGGCGGACGUCGCGGCCUCCGGGCCGUCUUCCGCACGAGCUUCUUAGAGGGACCGUCCCCCGCCGGGGAAGGAGGUGCGAGGCAACGACAGGUCUGUGAUGCCCUUAGAUGUUCUGGGCCGCACGCGCAUUACACUGACGCGUCCAACGGGUGACUCCCGACCCGAAGGGGCCGGGGAAUCCGCAAGGCGCGUCGUGAUGGGGAUUGAACGUUGCAAUUGUUGUUCACGAACGAGGAAUUCCUAGUAGGCGCGGGUCAUCAACCCCGCGCCGAUUACGUCCCUG
rnacentral:rRNA from 1 species